rnacentral:lncRNA from 1 species
CAGGCUCUUGCGGCUUGUGGAAUGCUCCCCUCUUCCCCACCCUGCUCCCCACUCUCCCAGUCCUCACCCCCCACUGGCAAAUGAACUUGCGUUUCCUUCCAUGCAAGUCCACUGAAAUCAGGAUAUUAGUUAUAUUUGAAGCGACAUGUUCUAAAGUUACUCGGAAAGAAAAAGGUAUCAGUUUUCCAUCAAGGCACUUCCCAUCUCAGACGUGGUCCUGGGGAUGUGCCCCUGACACCGAAACCAGCAGACCCUGCCUGUGGCUCCCCGGCCAAGACCAGGCACAGCCAAGGCUUGGCUUGGCUUUUCUGUUGCAUCAGAGUGAAACUCGCUCACCAGAUUCCUCCUGCAUUUAAACCGGGCCUCGUACUUUUAUUUUUUUAUUUUUUUGAGGCAGGGUCUCACUCUGUUGCCCAGGCUGGAGUGCAAUGGUGCAAUCUCGGCUCACUGCAACCUCCACCUCCCGGGUUCAAGUGCUCCCCCUGCCUCAGCCUCCCGAGUAGCUGGGACUACAAGCAUGCACCACCACACCCGGCUAAUCUUUUUUGUAUUUUUAAUAGAGACGGGAUUUCACCAUGUUGGUCAGGCUGGUCUUGAGCUCCUGACCUCAGGUGAUCCACCCGCCUCAGUCUCCCAAAGUGCUGGGAUUACAGGUGUGAGCCACUGCACCCGGCCGGCCUUGUACUUUUGAGGCGGUGUUGACUCUUGCAAUCCGUAGCUUUGAGAGCUCCCCAUCCGAAUCUCAGGCACAUUUGACUUUUUCACUCUCAUAGGAGUGAUCUCCUUAGUCCAUCGAUCAAACUGCUGAGAGCAGGCCAUGGCCUGCCUGCUGUCAUGGCCCAUGAAGCAGAAUUGGAGAUGAGAGGGGAGGACCUGGGCUGGAGAGUGGGCAGGAGGAGAUCCUGCAAACAGGGAAAUGAGAGAGGGGAGGGAGGAGGAGGGUUUGAGAGUGGGGAGGGGAGCUGGGGGUGCUCCCUGACGACCGGGAGGAGAGGAAGGAGGGGAGCUGCAGGCUAUGAACGGGGCUGCAGGUUAUGAAUGGGGCACUCCGGCGUUCUGAGAACUGAGCACUCCGACGUUCUGAGAACUGGGCACAGGGGCACCAGGCCCUAAGUGAGUUCUGCUCCGGGGUGGCCGGGCCCAUCCCGAGAGCACUGACGUCCAACAGGAGUGUCGCUGCCCACCGCCUCCCACAAGAGGACACUUCGAUUUGCCAGAGAAGGGCAGAGUGGGAGAUGACUUUUUCUCAGCAUCUUGCCUCGUUUUCCUCUUCCCAGAGGUUUGUUUUUAAGGAAGUUUAAGCUUGCUGCACUGGAAGAGCAAAAAACAAUAUUUUGUAAAAUAAAUAUUUGUUUUGUGCAGACUUGGGCCUUCCCACAUAUUGGUUUUUCUUGAAGAGGAGACACAACCACAGCAGGGGUGAGGAGAAGAGAGACACAGUCACUCACUCAUUCAGGAAUAAUCUUUGAGUUGAAACUGCAGUCUCCUCUUGGCCAAAGGGAGGGUGCUGACCACCUUCACCUGGAGGCCGCCUUCACCUGGAGGCCGCCCACCACCUUCACCUGGAGGCCGCCCUUGCUCUUUCAGGAUCCUCUUUCAUGGGUUUCUGCAGAGCCACUGGGUCAGAGCACAUAUGUGGGCCAUGAGGACUUUUCCUUUGCACCCCAACACAUCUCUACCCGUCCUCCCUGCACCCCCAACCCGAAGACGGGCGUGUGAUCCUGUGGGUGGGUGCGUGGUCCGUGUGUGUAAUUUUGUCCGGAGCAGUCAUUCUCGGAGUGGGCCCCAGACCCGCAGUGUAAGCAUUGCCUGGUGCUGUGGUUUGGACGUGUGUCCCCUCCACAUCUCAUGUUGAAAUGUAUCCCCAGUGUUGGAGUGAGGCCUACGGGCGGGGGUUUGGGUCAAGGGUCAGGUCCCUCAGGAAUGGCUUCCUGCCGACCCCACCUGGCAGUCAUGAACGAGCCCUUGCUCAAUUAGUUCCUGCGUGAGCCAGGUGUUAAAAGAGCGUGGCCCCUCCCUCCCUUUGGCUUCCUCUCCCACUGUGCCCUCUGCACACAUGGCUCCCCUUCACCCUCCACCCUAAGCAGGAGCAGCCGGAGGCCCCACCAGAAGCAGAUUCUGUUGCCAGGCUUCUUGUACAGCCUGCAGAACUGUGAGCCAAAGAAACCACUUUUCUUUAGAAGUUGCCCGGCCCCAGGUGUCCCUUGAUAGCCACACAAAUGUUCACCUGUGAACUUGCUAUAAAUUCAGAUUCUCAGGCCCCACCCAGACCUGCUGAGUCAGAAACUCCAGCAGGGGCCUGGAAGUCUGCCUUUUACCAGGAACCUGUGUGAUUCCCAUACAGAGUUUGAGAACCUCUGGUCUCUGGAACUGCAUGCUUCAAAUGGGUGCAUUUUAUGUAUGUGGAUUAUAUCUUUAAAAAGAUAUCCAAAGACAGAAAGAUAAUUGACUACCUGAAGCAAAGACGGGAAAAGUGUAUUGUGGGGUUUGUAACAUGCAGAAGCAAAUCUGUGGUAACAACAGUACCAAGUAUGGGAGGGAGGAAGUACAGGCCUUGCUGUCAGGUUACUACAUGUAUGUGAAGUGGUAGAAUAUUGUGUAAUGGCAGACUGAGAAGCUACAGCUGUAACUUUAUCAUAAGCCCUACUGCAACCAUGAACAGCUACACUAAGAGGUAUAACAAGGCAAUAGUGAAGAUAAAAUGAAAUAAUAAAAAAUACUCAGCAGCUCUGCCUAUGGAGUAGCCAUUCUUUUAUUCCUUCACUUUCUUAAUAAAUUGGCUUUCACUUUAAAAAAAAGUACUUGAUCCAAUAGAAGGAAGAAAAACGGAAAAAUUAUUUAAAAAGAACAGACGAGACAAAUACAAAAUAAAUGUCAAGGUGGUAGAUUUAAAUUCAACUUCCCAAUAAAAAUAUCCAGAUUUUUAGGUUGGGUAGAUAUAAAAACAAGAUCCAACUCUAUGCUGUCUACAAAAGAAAAAAAAAAUAACAUAAAAACAUAAGUGGAUUGAAGGUAAGGGACAGAAAUAGUUAUAUUCUGAACUAUUAAAAGAAAGCUGGGGCGGAGAUGUUAGUAUCAGAUAAAAUAGAUAUCCGAACAAGGAAUAUUACCAGAGAUGAAUAGAUACAUUAUAUGAUCCUGAAAGUGCCAUUCUGGCCAGGCGCGGUGGCUCACACCUGUAAUCCCAGCACUUUGGGAGGCCGAGGCGGGUGGAUCACCUGAGGUCAGGAGUUCGAGACCAGCCUGGCCAACAUGGUGAAACCCUGUCUCUACUAAAAAUAUAAAAAAAUUAGCCGGGCGUGGUAGUGGGUGUCUGUAAUCCCAGCUACUCAGAAGGCUGAGGCAGGAGAAUUGCUUGAACCCAUGAGAUGGAAGUUGCAGUGAGCCAACGUGGUCCCACUGCACUCCAGCCUGGGUGACAGAGAGACUCUGUCUCAAAAAACAAACAAACAAACAAACAAAUAAAAGUGCCAUUCUGUAGGAAAAUAUAGCAGUUGUAAAUAUGCUUGCACCUAACAGCGGAAUUUCAAAACACAUGGAUCACAAAGUAAAGAAGAAAUAGAAAAAUCCCUGAGUAUCGUUGGAAACUUCAAUACUCCUCCAAUACUCCUCUCUGUAAGCUAUAGAAGAAGUAGACAGGAAACCAGUAAGGAUGUAGAACCCUGAAUCACAAUAUCAUCCAAAUUGAUUGAUUUGACAUUUAUUAAGCAAUACUUUCAAUAUUAGCAGAAUACACACUUUUUUUUUUUUUUUUUGAGACGCAGUCUCGCUGUCGCCCAGGCUGGAGUGCAGUGGCACGAUUUCAGCUCACUGCAAGCUCCGCCUCCCAGCUUUAAGCAAUUCUCCUGCCUCAGCCUCCCGAAUAGCUGGGACUACAGGCGCCCGCCACCACGCCUGGCUAAUUUUUUGUAUUUUCAGUAGAGACGGGGUUUCACUGUGUUGGCUAGGAUGGUGUUGAUCUCCUGACCUCGUGAUCCACCCGCCUCGGCCUCCCAAAGUGCUGGGAUGACAGGCGUGAGCCACCACUCCCGGCCAGAAUACACACUUUUUUACAAAUGCACAUGGAGCAUUCACCAAGAUAGACCAUAUUCCAGGCCGUAAAACAGAUCUCAACAAAUUUUAAAAAGUGAAGUUAUGCGAAAUAUGUGGCCACAACAGAAUUAAGCCAGAAAUUAAUAGUAUGUCUCUUCAAAUAUUUGGAAGUUAAAGAACAUAUUUUAAAAUGACUGAUAGAUCAAAAAAUCCAAAGAGAAAUUAGAAAAAAAAUUAAUUGAGCAAAAAAGAAAAUACAUAUGACAAUUUGUAGGUGCUGGCAAGGCAGUGCUUGGAAGAACAUUUAUAGCAUUAAAUGUAUAUAUGUGAAAAGAAGAAAGUUCUCCAAUCAGUAAUCUAAGCUUCUACCCUUAAAAGCCUAGAAAAGGAAGAGCACAAUAAAUUCAAAGUAAGGAAAAGAAAGAAUAUGAUAAUGAUCGAAGCAGAAAGACUGGAAACAAAGUCAGAAUGUCACUCUCAUCACUCUUAUUAACACUGUGCUAGAGGUUCUGGCCACUGAAAUAAAGCCAGGAAAAGAAGUGAAAGGCAUGCAGAUUGGAAAUAAGACAUAAAAUUGCCUUUAUAUGCACUCAACAUGAUCAUCGAUGUAGAAAAUCCUAAACAAUCUACCAGAAAAUGUGUAAGAGCUUAUACAUUUAGCAAAGUUGCUGGACAUAAGGUUAAUGUAUGAAAACCAAUUGUAUUUCCAUAUACUAGCAGUGGACAAUAGGAAAUUGAAUUUAAAAACAAUAUUCACCAUAACAUCACAAACAUGAAAUACUUAAUGAUAAAUCUUACAAAAUAUGUGCAAAAUUUGUUUACUUAAAACUAUAAGAUGUUGAUGAGAAAAAAUACAAGAAGACCUAAAUAAAUGGAGAGAUGUACCAUGUUCAUGGAUUUGAGGACUCAGUAUUGUUAAGAUGUAAAUCCCUGCAAACUGAGCUAUAGAUCCAAUGGAAUCACAAUCAAAGUCUCAUCAGACUUUUUUUUUCUUUUAGAAACUGCAAGCUAAUUCUAAACUUAUAUGAAAAUUAAAAGGCACUUAAAUAACUCACACAACUUUGAAAGAGAAAAUCUUCCAAAUCUUCUUUGGAAGAUUCACACUUGAUUUUUGCAAGAGGUACAAUAAUGCCACUGUAAUCAAAACAGUGUGAUAUUGUCAUAAGGACAAACAAGUCAGUCAACAAAACAAAAUAGAGUCUUGGAAAUAAACGCAUGUAUAUAUGGUCAAUAGAUCUUUUUCAACAAAGUGCCCACAUAACUUGAUGGGAUAAAGAUACUCUUUCCAACAAAUGGUUCUGGAAUAGCUGGACAUAAGUCUCCAAAAACAGAGAGAAAUGAAUCUCAACUUAUACCUUACAUUAAAUACAAAAUCUAAAUCACAAUGGUUGUAGACCUGAAGGUAAAAUUUAAAACCGUAAAACAUCUAGAAGAAAACAAAAAACUGCUUUGUGAGAAUUUGAUAGUCAAAGAUUCUUAGAUAGGAUACAAAAACAUAACCCUAAAAGAAAAAACUGACAAACUGAACUUUAUCCAAAUCAAAAGCCUCUGCUCUUUAAAGACAUACUUAAGAAAAUGAAGAGACAAACCACAGACUAGAAGAAAUUAUUUACAAAACACAUUUCUGACAGGGGACUUGUACCCACAAUAUUUAACUCUUAUAACUCAAUACUAAGAAGACAAAUAUAAUCCACUAAAAAGUAGGUAAAAGAUUGGAAAUAACCCAUGAAAUAAUACCUAAGAUGUUUAACAUCACUAGUCAUGAGGGAAAUUAACAUUGAAAGCAUUAUGAAUCACCACUGCCAGGUGCUGAUGAAAAUGCCGCGCGCCUGGAGUCGCGGGCGUUGCUGGCGGGGGUGGAAAACGGGGCUGCCAUUUGGAAGACAGUUGAGCUGAUGAGUUGAACGUACCCUUAACACGGGCUCCAGCAAUCCCACUCUCAAAAGAAAUGAAACUGCACGUCCCCACCAAACCUGCACGCAAAUGUCUAAAGUGGCUUCACUCACAACAGCCCACAUGCCCAUCCACAGGUGAACCCGUGAGCAACUGUGUACCUCCACCUGUCCCACAACCUACAGCUCAGCAGCACCAAGGGCGGGACGCUGGUGCCACCACACGGGUCCCGCGAAGCCUGCUGCGAAGUGAAGGAAGCCAGACACAAAAGUCUCCAUCCUGUGGGAGUCACUCACAGGACAAUUCUGGAGGACGCAAAGCUGUAGGACCGAGGAGAGACAGGUGGUGGUUGGAGGCCGGGAAGGGGCCUGACUGCAGAGGGGCAAAAUGUGGGCUGCCUCUGUCGGGGCAGAAGUGCCCCACUCUGGACACUUACCAAGUCGUCGGCUGUGCAUCGAAAAGGGGUGAGCCUUAUGUGUGUACGUGAUACCGCAAUAAACCUGACUUGUAAAAGCAGCAUGUGAAGUCAUCAGCCCAGGACCCGGCCACAGGAGGGGGCGCACGGUGAAAAGGAGACCCUGCUGGGCCCACCUUGCCCGGUGGGUGGGACAGGGAAGCGUCCCUGGAGAAGGCGGCCCAUGGGCUUGGGGGAGGGAGGUCCUGUAGGGAGUGGGGAGAGCCACUCGCGUCUUCCUGGGGCUCUUCCUUGCCACCCCAGCCCUUUCCCAGCUUUCUGUUCCUACCGGGAAGGAGGAACGCAGAGGUGCCGGAGUCUCCGGCACUUUGAGGCGGGCAGAAGUGGAAGCUUGAAGUGGGCAUAGAUUUGCCCCUCCCCUGCCCGGGCUGGGAUCUGCACUGUGGCCCCCGUGUAAACAGACGAGACGACCCUCACAUCCCAGGGAGAGCCUCACGUGGCUGGGACUGAUUCUAGAGCCCCUAACUCAGCUCCGUGCCAGGGAAGACCGAUCACCACAGGCCGAAUUCCGGGGUCACGGCAGCUUGGCACCCAGCCUGGCAGUGUGGGGCUUGGGGCCACCAGAGCCUCCAGGGACAGGAGGGCACAGCAGUGCAGCCCCUGCUAACCUUGGCAAGCAGGAGGGCGCCGUGAUUAAACGUAUGAUUUCUGCCACCUCCAAAGCCGCAGCCAAUGAGAAGGCUAUUUUAGCAAAACUGGAAAGAAAAAUGCAAUUUUUCUUGGCCACAUCGUCUUCGUUUCCUCUGCUCCUGGCGUUCGGUUUGUUUGUCUCUUCUCACUACUGAGAGGCAGUUUUGCCAGCCUGUGCCUCCCGCCGGCUGUGGCUCGAGGUGUGGACGCCCGCGCCACCUUCCCGUUCCCGUUUCAGGGGGGAAGCUGCAGAGUUCUGGAGCUGUGAGUAGCACCGCUGUCGCCGCAAAGCAGAACCCCCAGUGAUUAGGGACGCUCCACGGACUUCACGGCUGCACGGCCGGCGUCACGGGCUGCUGUUGCUCCAGCGUGUUGGGACGUGCGAGAGGCAUUUACGACCUCAGCGACACAUUCCCUCAACCUCGUCACGCUGCAAGUGCUGCCAGGGUGUGUUCAGGGGACACUCCCUCUCGGGCUGGCUUGUGCGGGGACACGUGCGUGCACAGACACGGACUCACAUAAAUGCAAUCCACAUGCACACACUCACACAAUAGGCUGUUAUGCACAGACCCUCACACUCAUGUGAACACACUCAUGCACACGCAAGACUUACAUAUUCACACUCACACCCGUGGGCACACCCAGACAUGGAUACACACUCAUACAGGCACAUACGUAUCCAGACACCCACGCACAGACACUCACACCCACGGGCACACCUAGACAUGGGUACUCACACAGGUAGUCACAAGCACUCACAUAUCCAGACACCCAUGUGCACACUCACACUCACAGGCACACCCAGACAUGGAUACACAGGCACACACAUAUUGGGACACCCACGCAUAGACACUCACAUUCACACACGGGCACACCCAGACUGAUGCACACGAACACAGGCACGCACUAGUAUAGCCAGACACACAGGCACACUCAAACUCUCACAGUCACACAUUCACAUACACUCACAUGAAUACAAUGCAUGCACACACAAACAUACCUAUACACUUGUGUGUGCAGAGAACACACACACAUUUGCACUUAUACUCACAUGAAUACAAUAGAAACACAUGCAUACACACUUGUGUGCCCAGACCCACACUCACACAUUUGCACACUCACAUGACUAUAAUACAUGCACACAUGCAUACAUACAUGUGACCAGACCCACACCCACUCACAUUCGCACUCACACACACGUGAAUAUAGUACUCGCACACACAUGCAUACACAUGUGCCCAGACCUACAGACACACUCACAUUUGCACACUCACACAUGUGAAUAUAGUAUAUGCACACACUCAUGUGCCCAGACCCACAGACACAUUCGCACACUCACACACGUGAAUAUAGUACAUGCAUACACACGCAUACACACUCGUGUGCCCAGACCCACAGACACAUUCGCACACUCACACAUGUGAAUAUAGUACUCGCACACACACGCAUACACGUGCCCAGACCUACAGACACACUCACACUCUCACACAUGUGAAUAUAGUACA